UGUCUUUAUGGCAAAUGUGAGAUGCAGUGUAUGGAAUGUCAAAUUUCUAGUAUGAGAAAUUAAUGAUUUAAGUCCUUCUUAAAUGAGGCCAUUUACCCAUAGAGGGUGCCAGGCCCGUAAAACGUUAAUGAUUACUAGAUGACAUUUCCAAAGAGUCGUGUUGCUUGAUAGUGCAGCACUAAGUGGGUGGUAAACUCCAUCUAAAACUAAAUAUAACCAUGAGACCGAUAGCAAACAAGUACCGUGAGGGAAAGUUGAAAAGAACUCUGAAUAGAGAGUUAAAUAGUACGUGAAACUGCUUAGAGGUUAAGCCCGAUGAACCUGAAUAUCCUUUAUGGAAAAUUCAUCAUUAAGAUUUUAAUAUUUAUAAUAUUGAAAUAAUGGUGUGCAUUUUUUCCAUAUAUGGACAUUGUAAUCUAUUAAUAUGCACAAUAUUUAUCAUAAGAUUAUUAGCUUAAGUUUAUACAAAUUAUUUUGCUUGCAAUUUAACAUAGUAUAAGUGCUGAUGAUUUGAUAAAGUGUUGAUAGAUUUAUUAUAUAUGGUGCUUGAAUAUAUUUAUAUAUUCUAUAAUGGCAUAUUGAUCAUUGAUCUUUGUGUUUUAUUAUAUGCACUUAUAUGAUUAACAAUGCGAAAGAUUCAGGAUACCUUCGGGACCCGUCUUGAAACACGGACCAAGGAGUCUAACAUAUUUGCAAGUUAUUGGGAAUUAAAAACCUAAUAGCGAAAUUAACAUAACUUUAAUAAUGGGAUUAGUUUUUAGUACUAUUUAUAGUCUAUUAAUUCAAUCCCGGGGCGUUCUAUAUAGUUAUGUAUAAUGGUAUUUAUACUAUUUAUACCUCUAACUAGAGCGUACCUUGAGCAUAUAUGCUGUGACCCGAAAGAUGGUGAACUAUACUUGAUCAGGUUGAAGUCAGGGGAAACCCUG
rnacentral:rRNA from 1 species